rnacentral:rRNA from 1 species
UACGUAGGGUGCGAGCGUUGCCCGGAUUUAUUGGGCGUAAAGGGCGCGUAGGCGGCUCUGCACGUCCGUUGUGAAAUCGCCCGGCUCAACUGGGCGGGGUCAGCGGAUACGGCAGAGCUCGAGCAAGCUAGGGGGCAAUGGAAUUCCCGGUGUAGUGGUGGAAUGCGUAGAUAUCAGGAGGAACACCGGUGGCGAAGGCGGGUCUCUGGGCCGAUACUGACGCUGAGGAGCGAAAGCGUGGGGAGCGAACAGG